CUCCGUCAUGCUACACUAUACUGGGGUGAUGGGGGGGUAAACAUGGUGGAGGUGCUCCGUCAUGCUACACUAUACUGGGGUGAUGGGGGGGGUCAACAUGUUGGAGGUGCUCCGUCAUGCUACACUAUACUGGGGUGAUGGGGGGGGGUCAACAUGUUGGAGGUGCUCCGUCAUGCUACACUAUACUGGGGUGAUGGGGGGGGUCAACAUGUUGGAGGUGCUCCGUCAUGCUACACUAUACUGGGG